CUUCUGAUCUCUUGUCUUUGCAUCAAUAUCUUUUCAGGAUUCUUCUGUUAUUGGACAGUUGGGUUGGCCUGAUAUGCGCUUACCAAUCAUUUAUACAAUGUCUUGGCCAGAAAGAAUUUACUGCUCCGAAUUGACGUGGCCUCGCCUUGAUCUUUCCAAGUAACUGGUUUUUUCCCUUGUCAAAAUAUGGUUUUAAACACCUUUUGUCUCCUUUUUAGAAAAUAAAAACUCCUUGUGAUUAUGUUUCAAAAGUAAGUUCUGCUUUACGUACACUGGCAGUAUUACUUUCAAAUGACCCAAAUUCAACCCAAGCAUUUCACAAUCUUCUAUUUAUUGACACUUGUUACUAGAAAUGGUGAGAAACGAAACAGAAAGAAAUAGAAUAAAAGAGCGAAGGAAGCAAGAUAUGUAGUCAAGACAUCAUUCUUUUAUUCAUUCAUGACCUGCCUUUCUCUCUCUCUCUCUAUAUAUAUAUAUAUAUAUAUAUUUAUAUAUUCCUUUCCUAGUGAGGACAUUCUCACUUUGUUAAACUGAGGACGUCACUAAAAUACAAAAAAAUACAGAUUUCAAUACAUUGAAAAAACACAGUUUUUUGUCUGUUGGUGUAUCGAAAUAUGCAUUUUUUUGUUGAGAUAAAUCUAAUUCAUAGAUAAUACAAAUCUUAUUCCAGUAAUGGUCACCUAUGCUUGAAUCUUGGGGAGGUGGAUUUUUGAAAAAAAAAAGAAAAAAAAGGCUUUGCAGCCCUACCUUUAAGGUUAAAAUAGGAGGGAAAAAAAUCAAUAUCCUUACAUUUCUAAAAUAAUAUAUUCUUAGAAGUGGUAUGCCUUAAAAACAUGGAUGGAUUGAAAAGUGAUCCUGUGACCAAUACUUUUAAUUGUUUCAUUUGCAUUAUUCAUGACUGAUGAGCAUGCAAUUAAGGUGAUUUCAAUUAUUUUUAUUUUGUUAUGCCUCCAUUAUUUUAUCUCUGAAACAAAUGUUCUUAGAGAAGACUCUUGUUAUAGGGAUUUUUCAUGUGUGAGGUUAAAACAAUCUUUCUGUGUGUCUUUAUAUCUAUGCUGAGAGUCAUUCUUAGAUGUGUGACUAAAAUUGAAAUGGAUGAUUCAGGCUUGGAUCAUUAACAUUUGUGGCUCCUGACACUGCAAAAUAUCCAUCUGUAAAUCUUGCCUAUGCUGCUGGACGGGCUGGAGGCACCAUGACAGGAGUUCUUAGUGCAGCUAACGAGAAAGCAGUAGAGAUGUUCAUUGAUGAAAAGUAUGUAUCCCUGGUCUUGAUAGAAAAUAUUGCUUUGUUAAGUUUUAAGACAUGAUGAGUUUGUUUCCUGGUUUUCCUUGAAUUUUGUGUGAUUUUAUCGUUCAACAAGGAGCGUGCUAAAGAUCAUCUUAAUAAUGCUUGUAUCCAAGGGGGCAACCCAAUUGGUUUGCCUCUUGCAAUGGAAGCAAGAGGCCAAGGGUCUAACCCCCCACACCUACCUUGAAGGUGGUUUGAUUUGUUUUGGGAUGAUGUGGAGUGAGGGGCAUGGGAACUGAAAAAAGAGGGGGGGGAAAAAAUGGAAAAAUACAAGAACCCAAAAAAAAAAAGGGCUAGAUGGUCGUGAAUUAUGCAGCAUAACUCCCGAAAUUCAUAGUUGAAAUUCGUAGUUGCUUAUUAGUUGGAAAUAACUUUUGACGCUCAUUUUCAUAUUGACUUAGAUUGUCAACUUCUUGAUCUCUAUUAGUUCCUGCCCAUGAAUAGAAAAGAGGGAAACUUUUUCUUGUGCAGUGAAAUGAUCAAAAGUUUAAAUGAUAUCAUUCUAGUAAUUUCCAACUACAGUUCUUCUUUAAGCUUGCUCUAGUACUGCUAGUAUAAUAAAUUGGAGAGCUUAAUAUAUAUUAAUAAUAUAUUCUCUUGCAAAAUAUAUUAAUAAUAUAAUGUCUUCAUGGAUUCAGGAUUGGCUAUCUGGAUAUUUUCAAGGUUGUGGAGCUAACGUGUGAUAAGCACAAGGCGGACUUGGUAACCUCGCCUUCCCUAGAGGAUAUAAUACAUUAUGAUGCAUGGGCACGAGAGUAUGCAGCUGGUUUGCAAUUUUCAUCUGGUAGAAGCCCUGUUCCAGCAUGACUGCUUGCAUUGAUGCCCUACUUUGAGAACUAGAGAGAUGUGUUUACUU
rnacentral:lncRNA from 1 species